UUUCUUGGAUUUCUCUAGUUUGAUUUGGUGAUUGUAGAAUAGCAUGCUUUGUCAUCUUUAAAGCAAAUUUGGUGCCUGCUCCACCAAGUUUGUGUCGGAAGAUGACUAAAUCAUUAUGUCCUCCAUAUCAUCUAUAUUCAUGAAAGUCUAUUAUAUUCAUGUUGUAUUACUGGGGGGAUAAAUCUUUUAAUAUUAACUCAUUAGCUACUGCUUCUUUUGCUAUGUCAUUAUAUUGCUCUGAUUGGUUUGUUACAUUGUAAAUUUUAUUUUAUUUUUUGAAUGAAUUAUGUUUUGUAUUUAUUUGGAUCUUCAUUUUUUUAGAUGUUAGGGGCUGGUGUUAGUCAGGUUGCUGUAUGCGCAUUCUUCUAAUGAAUAGGAUACUUCCCUUGCUGUUUAUCUGUACCACUAAACAAUAUGAAAUUUACUUCUAAAACUGCUUUUGCAGGGCCUGCUAUGGUGUUUUGAGGUUUGUUAUGGAAAAUGGCGCCAAGGGAUGCGAGGUCAUCGUUAGUGGCAAGUUGAGGGCUCAACGCGCUAAAUCCAUGAAGUUCAAGGACUACAUUGAUUCUGCUGUAAGACAUGUACUCCUUAGGCAGGGAUUUGGAUAAGAAAUGUUGCAGAUGAGUAACUUCACAAAGCUUUCAUGAGGCAUAUACGAGCGAGUUGCAGCUUAAAGUGGAUCACUUACUGGAAGAGAAUGCAAGACUCAAGAGACAGCAACAAAAGGCAUGCAUCUUCAUUUAUAUACAUAAAUACACACAUUUUAGUUACUAGUGAUUUUGUUUGUUUAUGUUUAUGUUUCAAUAUUUCAUCAAGUGAACCUUAUAUUUAUUUAGUUCUUGCAAAAUGGGAUUUGGUUUAACUUUGAGCGUUGAAGUUGGUGUUUUACACUUGAAAUUUAUUGCAUGUAUAAUUUGUCAGGUAAAUUUAUUGCUGAGAUUUCAUGCUCCAAAGAAUGUAACAAGAAAAAGGGGACUUAUGCUCAAGCUAACAAGCCUGCAUCUGCUGAUGAUGAAGAUAUGGACCCCACUCAAUACUUUGAGAACAGGCUCAAGUACCUUGCGGAUCAGAAGGCUGAAGGGAUUAACCCAUACCCGCACAACAGAAAUGAUAGUAGGGUCAUUACAACACGUUUAAAUUGAAGAUAAUUGAUCCAAGUUUCAUAAGUGCU